rnacentral:rRNA from 1 species
UACGGAGGGUGCGAGCGUUGUCCGGAAUCACUGGGCGUAAAGGGCGCGUAGGUGGCUCGUGAAGCGUGCGGUGAAAGUCCGAGGCUCAACCUCGGAUCGGCCGUGCGGACUCGCGGGCUCGAGCGUUGUAGAGGCGGGUGGAAUUCCGGGUGUAGCGGUGGAAUGCGUAGAUAUCGGGAGGAACACCUGUGGCGAAGGCGGCCCCCUGGUUGGAUACUGACGCUGAUACGCGAAAGCGUGGGGAGCAAACAGG